ACGUAGGGUGCGAGCGUUAAUCGGAAUUACUGGGCGUAAAGCGUGCGCAGGCGGUUUUUUAAGAUAGGCGGGAAAUCCCCGGGCUUAACCUGGGAACUGCGCUUAUGACUGGAAGACUAGAGUACGGCAGAGGGGGGUGGAAUUCCACGUGUAGCAGUGAAAUGCGUAGAGAUGUGGAGGAACACCAAUGGCGAAGGCAGCCCCCUGGGCCGAUACUGACGCUCAUGCACGAAAGCGUGGGGAGCAAACAG
rnacentral:rRNA from 1 species